CAAUACAUGAUCCCACAAUCUUUCAUUAUGUUUCCUCAUUUAUUAACAUCCCAAACACAAUAGCACAACAUCAUAUCACAAACCUUUACAUGUUAUACUUUCUAUUAUCACAAUCAUGUCAAUAACGUAAAACCUUAGCUUUCUACUCAUGAAAAUAUUCUCUAAUGAGGAAUCUAACUGGAACCGACUUUUAGAUUUGAGUGAUGAUGAAAAGGAAACGGUUUGGUUGAUGACCUUCACUUCUUCAUCAAGCUUCCUCUUUUUUCUUCAAAUUUUUUCUUAUCUCUUCUCUUUAUUUUCUCUCCCUAUGUUAUGUUUUUCUUCCACUUCCUACUGAUAGUUGGAAAGGAAGAUAGAAAAGAGAUUGGAAACAGAAACAUGUGGUCAAAAAAGAGAGAUAUUGUGUGGUUGGAAAUUAAAAAGGGUAAUAAGAAAUAUCUCAUGUGGUAUUUCUUUAUAAUAUUCUCUUUACUAAAACAAUUGGCUCAUUAUUAAUGUUAUCAAAAUAUCGCUUCUUGUAUAAAUUAAUAAAAUGUCAGUCUUAAAGAAUAUUAAUUAUAUCAAUUGGAGUUCACUGGUGACUCUAAUUGUCCCAACUGACAACUUUCUGAGCAUAUAAGAACUCAGUUGAUCUUAACUAGUAAGAAUUUGACUAUUUAAGGAAACACAGGGUAUUAUAACUUCCACCUUCCAAUUUAGGAAUUUUGAUCCAAGUGACUACUUUACCUUCCAACUAUAAGUUCGUUGUCUUGGCCUUGAUUUGUCUAAAGGUAAUAGAAAACCCAUGUUCUUCUGUUGAAACUUCAAUACAAAUUGACCGAAUAAUUUUGGAAAAAAGAAACUUUAACUUUGUAACUGUUGGAUUGUAAAUUCUAGAAGUGACCACACGAGAAUCGCAACUUGAGAUUUUCAAACCUUCACAAAAAAUUAAACAAAAACGAAUCUUCUAACAUAGAUCUCUCACCCAAUAUUGAGAAGCUAAACCAAAUUUUCAAUGAUAGAAGUUAGAGGCUGAAGAUGAAGGAAAAUUUCAUAUGCAUGCAUUCCGUAAACAAAAACUAAAAAGAUUUUUGAAAAUUUGAGAAAAUAUUGUGAGGUGUGUUCUAUGAUCCUCAAAACCAUGUGAAUUUUAUUAGACGAUUUAAAGAAAUGAUUUGCAUAUAUCUUUGAGAUAAUGCUUAAAAAUGAAAGAAAAUAUAUAUUUUAUUCGAGUCAGGAGCAAAGGGUAUAGUUCGAGUAUAGUGAGUGAAUGAUUUAAAUCAACAAUUAUAGAUUUUAAAAGAAGAGUGAUUUGCAAUGUAUAAUAAAUUCAAGUAGAUUUAUUAGAUUUUUUCUUUAAUUUUUUUCCUUCAUAUAAAAAUUGACAGAAUUUAAUAGAUCAUUCAAAACACAAUCUUUUCUUAUGUGCUACCUUCAAAAUAUUAUUUUCCUCCUAUUCGUUUUUAGUAUAUAUUUUUCAUUAAAUAUUUUUUAUUAAGACAUUUAUAUUUGGAGGAGAAAUGAACAUUAAAUAUAAUAGCUAUUCUUUAGAUGUUAACGAUGACUACGUGGAUGUUCGCCUUGCAGUUUUAAGUUUUGAGGUAAAAAAAAUUUUAAUCAAAAGAUAAAAGUAAACCUUGUCAAAUCGAAUUGAAUGACUAUUUAUAAAUUAAUGGAUAAACACUAGUUUUAAGUUUUGCUGCUGUUAACUUUUUUUAAUGGUUAAAUAAAUUUAUGGAUAAACACUAGAGCCUACAAAAAGUAUAAGGACAAUAGGUACACCAAAAGUGUCAAGUCAAAAAAAUACUAAAAAAAACAAAAACAACCAACAACAACAAAGAAGGAAAAAAUACAUCAGAAAAAACCACAACAUAAACAACAAACAAAAAAACUAAAAGAGAGAAAACCGCACCAACCCUGCAGCAGAACGUCACCCCAAUAUGACCAAGCUAGAUCUCAGAUCUCUAAACCACCGAAGGCAAAAAUUGGCAUAGAACAGGAGAGCCAAGCCAAGAAUCUCAAUUCGAUAUUGGAUCAGACUUAUGAAAUGAUUCUAAAGCCAAUCGUUGAAGCAUAACGAGUUCAAUUGGAGUUAUGAAGGUGCCAACACCAAGCCAAAAAAAUAAUCAGAAUUCAGAUAUGGCUUUUGUCGUUUUUCAAUUGACUUUCCAUCAGAAUUAAUCAAGGUAAAUCGCGGUUGAAAAAAACAUUUUUGAUGUAUCCAUUAGACGCAAUAUGAAACAUUAAAACAUUGUCAAUGAAUCCAACAAAACUUAUUAGGAUGUAAAAUCAUUAUUUUCGAUCCAUUAAAUCAAAUAAAAAAGACUUUGAAAUCAAUGUUAAAUGUGGUUUCUGGGAUUACAUCAAUAUAGAUGAAAGUAAUAUUUUUGCGGAGCUAGACUAAGCUUGGAUCAACAAGGAAUCUGAGAAAUAUUAGUUGAGAAUAAAAUGAAGCGGUUGUGGCUCAAGAAAGUUUGUAGUUGUUAACUCUACGAAUAAAAGUUGGUAUAUAUAGAUAGGUGUGCGAGUGAGAAUUUAGGGUUAUGAGAAAAGUAGGUUGGUUUUGAUAUUAGUCACAUGAUAUUGAUGUUUUCUAGAAAUAUCUAGAUGUUGAUGAAGUAAUUACUAAUUAAAUAUAUAUUUUUAGAUGGUUAUGUUUAAUUUAGAAUUAAAAUGAUUUGUUAAGGUUUUCUUAUUUUUGUUGGUCUUUUCGACUUUCAUAUAUUUGAGAUAUCCAAUGAAAAAAAUGUCUUUUAAUUUUGAUCUCUUUAUUGGUAAAUUCUGUCCAUAUACUAUAUUAUGGAUUAUUUUAAUUCAAUUAUAUAAGCUUUGGCUAACAAAAACUAGAGAUUAGAAAAAAAAACUAAAAUAAAUUUUUAUUUUCAUAUUUUAUUUUUACUUACUAUUUAGACUCACAUGUAUUAUUAUAUAUUUCAGUUAGAAUAUAUAAUCGACUAAACUCUAUUAUUAAACGGAAAUAUAUGAAUUAAUUAUAAAUUGUACACAAUUUUUAUAUUUUGAAUGUAUAGACCCAUAACCUUGUUUUUCAUUAAAAAAACAUAAUUUUGCACAUUUUCUUCAUUCUAAACAAGUAGUAAGUCAUACUAAUUCUGUUUCUAGUGUUUUCUCACCAAUUAUCAUGAGUUUUUAAUCAUAUAAUCACAUAUACAAUACAAUCAAUUCAUAACAUACUCAUCAAAAUAUCAUACAUGAUGGUUUAUCAUAAAUAUCAUAUAAAUCGUUGGCAUAAAAAUCAUAUUUUCACUUCACCGUCUACUAGAGCAUUGAAUGAGAUUUCCAAUCCAUCCGACUGUGUCCGAUUUUUUGUUACAAAACUCAAGUUACGACGAUUUUAAUUCUGCAUUUUUUUCAAAACAAUAUGUAUCGACCUAUAUCCUUAUAUAUCGACUCCUAACAGGAAGAAACUUGGUUUUUUGAAAAACCUUCAAUAUGGGUUGAACCAUAACUCGAAUGUAUCGACCCAUUACCUUGUGUUUCAUUAAAAAAAACCACAAAGUUUCACAUUUUCUUCAUUCCAAACACAUAGUAAUUCAUACUAUCAUUCCUUAGCAUCAAUUAAUAUCUUAGGAGGAUAAAAACAUAACAAAACCACACAUACAAGGCAACAAUACAUGAUCCCACAAUCUUUCGAUUAUGUUUCCUCGUAUUAUUAAAUCAUGACCAAACACAAUAGCACAAUGCAUCAUUCACAAACCUUAUACUUUCUAUUAUCACAAUCAUGUCAAUAACAUAAAACCUUAGCUUUCUACUCAUGAAAAUAUUCUCUAAUGAGGAAUCUAACUGGAACCGACUUUUAGAUUUGAGUGAUGAUGAAAAGGAAACGGUUUGGUUGAUGACCUUCACUUCUUCAUCAAGCUUCAUCUUCUUUCUUCAAAUUUUCUUCUUAUCUCUUCUCUUAAUUUUCUCUCCCUAUGUUAUGUUUUUCUUCCACUUCCUACUGAUAGUUGGAAAGGAAGAUAGAAAAGAGAUUGGAAACAGAAACAUGUGGUCAAAAAAGAGAGAUAUUGUGUGGUGGGAAAUUAAAAAGGGUAAUAAGAAAUAUCUCAUGUGGUAUUUCUUUAUAAUAUUCUCUUUACUAAAACAGUUGACUCAUUAUUAAUGUUAUCAAAAUAUUGUUUCUUGUAUAAAUUAAUAAAAUGCCAGUGUUAAAGAAUAUUAAUUAUAUCAAUUGGAGUUCACUGGUGACUCUAAUUGUCCCAACUGACAACUUUCUGAGCAUAUAAGAACUCAGUUGAUCUUAACUAGUAAGAAUUUGACUAUUUAAGGAAACACAGGGUAUUAUAACUUCCACCUUCAAAUUUAGGAAUUUUGAUCCAAGUGACUACUUUACCUUCCAACUAUAAGUUCGUUGUCUUGGCCUUGAUUUGUCUAAAGGUAAUAGAAAGCCCAUGUUCUUCUGUUGAAACUUCAAUACAAAUUGACCGAAUAAUUUUGGAAAAAAGAAACUUUAACUUUGUAACUGUUGGAUUGUAAAUUCUAGCAGAGACCACACGAGAAUCGCAACUUGAGAUUUUUAAACCUUCACAAAAAAUUAAACAAAAACGAAUCUUCUAACAUAGAUCUCACACCCAAGAUUGAGAAGCUAAACCAAAUUUUCAAUGAUAAAAGUUAUAGGUUGAAGAUGAAGGAAAAUUUCAUAUGCAUGCAUUCCGUAAACAAAAACUAAAAAGAUUUUUGAAAAUUUGAGAAAAUAUUGUGAGGUGUGUUCUAUGAUCCUCAAAAUCAUAUGAAUUUUAUUAGACGAUUUAAAGAAAUGAUUUGCAUAUAUCUUUGAGAUAAUGCUUAAAAAUGAAAGAAAAUAUAUAUUUUAUUCGAGUAUAGUGAGUAAAUGAUUUAAAUCAACAAUAAUAGAUUUUAAAAGAAGAGUGAUUUACAAUGUACAACAAAUUCAAGUAGAUUUUUAUUAGAUAUUUUCUUUACUUUUUUUCCUUCAUAUAAAAAUUGACAGAAUUUAAUAGAUCAUUCAAAAUACAAUCUUUUCUUAUGUGCUACCUUCAAAAUAUUAUUUUCCUCCUUUUCGUUUUUAGUUUAUAUUUUUUGUUAAAUAUUUUUUACUAAGACAUUUAUAUUUGGAGGAGAAAUGAACAUUAAAUAUAAUAGCUAUUCUUUAGGUGUUAACGAUGACUACGCGGAUGUUCGCUUUGCAGUUGUAAGUUUUGAGGUAAAUUUUUUUUAAUCAAAAGAUAAAAGUAAACAUUGUCAAAUCGAAUUGAAUGACUAUUUAUAAAUUAAUGGAUAAACACUAGUUUUAUGUUUUGCUGCUAUUAACUUUUUUUAAUGGUUAAAUAAAUUUAUGGAUAAACACUAGAGCCUACAAAAAGUAUAAGGAGAAUAGAUACACUAGAAGUGUCAAGUCAAAAAAAAUACUAAAAAAAACAAAAACAACAACAAAGAAGAAAAAAAUACAUCACAAAAAACCACAACAUAAACAACAAACAAAAAAACUAGAAGAGAGAAAAACACACCAACCCUGCAUCAGAACGUCGCCCCAAUAUGACCAAGCUAGAUCUCAGAUCUCUAAACCACCGAAAGCAAAAAUUGGCAUAGAACAGGAGAGCCAAGCCAAGAAUGUCGAUUCGAAAUUGGAUCAGACUUAUGAAAUAAUUCUAAAGCCAAUCGUUGAAGCAUAAAGAAUUCAAUUGGAGUUAUGAAGGUGCCAACACCAAGCCAAAAAAAUAAUCAGAAUUCAGAUAUGGCUUUUGUCGUAGUUCAAUUGAGUUUCCAUCAGAACUAAUCAAGGAAAAUCGCGGUUGAAAAAAACAUUUUUGAUGGAUCCAUUGGAAGCGAUAUGAAACAUUAAAACAUUGUUAAUGAAUCCAACAAAACUUAUUAGGAUGCAAAAUCAUUAUUUUCGAUCCAUUAAAUCAAAUAUAAAAAACUUUGAAAUCAAUGUUAAAUGUGGUUUCUGGGAUUACAUCAAUACAUAUGAAAGUAAUAUUUUUGUGGAGCUAGACUAAGCUUGGAUCAACAAGGAAUUUGAGAAAUAUUAGUUGAGAAUAAAAUGAAGCGGUUCUGGCUCAAGAAAGUUUGUAGUUGUUAACUCUACGAGUAAAAGAUGGUGUAUAUAGAUAGGAGUGCGAGUGAGAAUUUAGGGUUAUGAUAAGAGUAGUUUGGUUUUGGUAUUAGUUACAUGAUAUUGAUGUUUUCAAGAAACAUCUAGAUGUUGAUGAAGUAAUUACUAAUUAAAUAUAUAUUUUUAUCUGGUUAUGUUUGAUUUAGAAUUAAAAUGAUUUGUUAAGGUUUUCUUAUUUUGGUUGGUCUUUUCGACUUUCAUAUAUUUGAGAUAUCCAAUGAAAAAAAUGUCUUUUAAUUUUGAUCUCUUUAUUGGUAAAUUCUAUCCAUAUACUAUAUUAUGGAUGAUUUUAAUUCAAUUAUAUAAGGUUUGGCUAACAAAAACUAUAGAUUAGAAAAAAAACUAAAAUAAAUUUUUAUUUUCAUAUUUUAUUUUUACUUACUAUUUAGACUCACAUAUAUUAUUAUAUAUUUCAGUUAGAAUAUAUAAUCGACUAAACUCUAUUAUUAAACUGAAAUACAUGAAUUAAUCAUAAAUUGUACACAAUUUUUAUAUUUUGAAUGUAUAGACUCAUAAACUUGUUUUUCAUUAAAAAUAUAAUUUUGCACAUUUUCUUCCUUCUAAACACGUAGUAAGUCAUACUAAUUCUGUUUCUAGUGUUUUCUCACUAAUUAUCAUGAGUUUUUAAUCAUAUAAUCACAUAUACAAUACAAUCAAUUCAUAACAUACUCAUCACAAUAUCAUACAUGAUGGUUUAUCAUAAAUAUCAUAUAAAUCGUUGGCAUAAAAAUCAUAUUUUCACUUCACCGUCUACUAGAGCAUUGAAUGAGAUUUCCAAUCCAUCCGUCUUGGUCUCAUUUCUAGUUACAAAACUCAAGUUACGACGAUUUUAAUUCUGCAUUUUUUUUCAAAACAGUAUGUAUCGACCUAUAUCCUUAUAUAUCGACUCCUAACAGGAAGAAACUUGGUUUUUUGAAAACCCUUCAAUAUGGGUUGAACCAUAACUCGAAUAUAUCGACGCAUUACCUUGUGUUUCAUUAAAAAAAAUCAUAAAGUUUCACAUUUUCUUCAUUCCAAACACAUAGUAAUUCAUACUAUCAUAACUUAGCAUCGAUUAAUAUCUUAGGAGGAUAAAAACAUAACAAAACCACGCAUACAACGCAACAAUACAUGAUCCCACAAUCUUUCAUUAUGUUUCCUCAUUUAUUAACAUCCCAAACACAAUAGCACAACAUCAUAUCACAAACCUUUACAUGUUAUACUUUCUAUUAUCACAAUCAUGUCAAUAACAUAAAACCUUAGCUUUCUACUCAUGAAAAUAUUCUCUAAUGAGGAAUCUAACUGGAACCGACUUUUAGAUUUGAGUGAUGAUGAAAAGGAAAUGGGUUGGUUGAUGACCUUCACUUCUUCAUCAAGA
rnacentral:lncRNA from 1 species